CACGAGCCAACGGAGCCAGCGUUCGAGACCUUCGGACACGAGGCCGGGAAAUUUGUGCCAGAAACCGAUUCGUUCGUCUCGUCGCAUGCAACCGACUCCGCGUUCCGAGUCAGCGAAGCUAAGCCCUUGCAAGUUCCAGAGCCCGCUUCUUCUUGCCCUUAGCGAACGCGGUGUCAGGAUGUCCGUCACCAUAGGGGGCCCAUUCCCGGGCUUAUACCCGGGCACGUUCGACAGGACGCACUGCUCGGAUUCGUCCAGUGUGAACCCGAAGGACCUCGGGUAUCACUCGCCGAUAGAUCGAGCUCCCGUGCAGCAACCACCACGUCCGUACUUCAUCAAGCUGCAGGAGCAGGAAUGGCCCCGGCUUACCGGAACGCCUCACGGCAGCGUCGCUUACGGCCUGAUGUCGACAGACUAUGGAGUGCCAUCGCAGCGGUACAGACAGCCGAUGAAUCGUGUUGACUCACAGGCUUACAUGUGGACCUACCACGAGCCACGACCCGAGUCGCCACAAGAGCCUGCCAUUCCACGCCACGAGGCGGAUUCAGUGAACAGCAAAUGCUACGCCAGGAUGUGCCGCCUGGCGGUCGCCGCUUUGGCUCUGGCCAAGGUUGGGGUCCCGGUAGCCGCGGUAGCCAGAAGUGUUGGUCGCAGUGUCAGGAACGACACGGCAACCGUCAAGGCCGGAAACCUGAUGCUUAAGGGCGCCAGUGCCAAAGGACUCGAAAGCAAUGUGAGGCCGCACACCACGUCUUCCCCGACCAGUACGACAUCUGCUGCUGCUGCCUUAGGAACCAGGGGCAAUUCCACGGUCACGGCGCCAAGAGAGGCGGGUCAUUACAAGUGCUGCGGAGGUACAGGCCAGUUCUGGAAGGUGGGCCCAUCGCAGUGGUCGUCGUUGUUGUCGUCGUCGUGGUCGUCGUCGUGGUCGUCGUCGUCGCUGUCGUCGUCGCAGUCGUCGUCGGUUGUCGUCGUGGCUCGCUACGACCGGCACCACGUGGCAGACGUCGGAGCCCACAGGCUGCAAGGUGCCCGGCGAACCGCUGCUACUCGACGUCGGCGGCCAGACGCCGCAGAGGCAGCGCACAGUCGCGACGACUUCCGCACGCACGCGGAUAACGGAGGACGCUGCUGCCUCUGCGGACUCGUCGACUUCGCAGGCACCGGACGCGAUGGUGGUGGCUACCAGCUCCGCGGUAGCUUCCAGCGCAGGGAAGACCGAGUGCGAAGACACGGGCAGUAACAGGCGAAAACGUGCCCCGAGCCAUUCUUGGUGACAUGGAAGCUCGCACAAUGGACGCAUUGUUGUCGGGAGCGUUUGGGCAGCUAGACCGUCCAGACAAGCUUUUUGCUCGGGCAGAGGGCUGGUGGCCACUACUGGACAGAAGGAACCAGGCUGGUCGAAAAUUAAGCCGCAUGCGUCCACCAGCCACCGAGAGGGAACGGCAUGACCACUGUCGAUGGAACCAGCAGAGCGCCCGCGCAUCAAGGACUGAUACGCUGUGUGCACGCGGGCACGCAUGCCUGCGGAACAGCAGCAUACAUGCU